GACGAAGGUGACGACCGUUGCUCGGAAUCACUGGGCGUAAAGGGCGCGUAGGCGGCGCGAGUAGUCAACGGUGAAAGCCCGGGGCUCAACCCCGGGUCGGCCGUCGAUACUCUCGUGCUUGAGCACUGUAGAGGCAGGUGGAAUUCCGGGUGUAGCGGUGGAAUGCGUAGAGAUCCGGAAGAACACCGGUGGCGAAGGCGGCCUGCUGGGCAGUGGCUGACACUGAGGCGCGACAGCGUGGGGAGCAAACAGG
rnacentral:rRNA from 1 species